UUCGUUCUAUUUAUUUUCUGAAUUCCUUUAAAUUAAAAUCGCCAACAUUUAAAUCAGAUUUUUCUGAAAAACUGAAAUAUUCAAUAUUAAGCAUUGCAAAAAACUAUGGAAUGUCUUAAAUAAAUAAAAAAAACUUCAGAAUUCCGUCAUAGUUUUACUUCCUCUUAUAGGCUUUUAUUUUGGAAACAGCAGGAAGUAGCAACUAACUGGUAGUAGCUUGGUUUCUCACGUGUUUGAUGCUCACUCCAUGAUAAAAACAACACGCAGGACUUUAAGAAAACUGUGACGGUCCAAAAAAUGCUCAGUUAAGAUGACACCACGUAUCAGUCCAAUGAAAGAUGCAAUGCAUCAUGUUGUUUCGAGAACAGACAAAAUAUCAAAACUUGAGGUGAAGUACAUUAAUCCAGUGAAAGGACGUGGGGUCUUUGCAAAAAGUUCAAUUUACAAAGGAGAGUUUGUAGUUGAGUAUUAUGGAGAAAGGAUUACUGAAGAAGAAUCUGAGAGAAGAAGGAGACUGUACCACCCUGCUUGUGCUGCUUUUAUGUUUGCAUUUAAGUGGCACGG